UAAUAAGCUAUUAAGGGCUAAUGGUGGAUGCCUAGACUGUAAGAGGCGAUGAAAGACGUAUUAGGCUGCGAUAAGCCUCGGGGAGCUGCCAAAGAGCUUUGAUCCGGGGAUUUCUGAAUGGGGCAACCCAAUAUAAUGAGAAUUAUAUUACCCUACGGGGAGCGAACCUAGUGAAGUGAAACAUCUCAGUAGCUAGAGGAAGAGAAAUCAAACGAGAUUCCCAAAGUAGCGGCGAGCGAAAUGGGAUUAGGACAAACCCAAUGCUUGCAUUGGGGGUUGUAGGACCAUGAUAUGAGACUAAAGAGGAUAGAUGAAAUACUUGGAAAAGUGUAGCAUAGAAGGUGAAACUCCUGUAAUUAAAAUUCUCAAUAGCUCUAAUGGUAUCCUGAGUAGGUCGGAACACGUGAUAUUUUGACUGAAGCCGGGGGGACCACCCUCCAAUCCUAAAUACUACUUACAGAUCGAUAGUGAACAAGUACCGUGAGGGAAAGGUGAAAAGUACUCCAGCGAGGAGAGUGAAAUAGAACCUGAAACCAUUAGCUUACAAUCAUUCAGAGCCCUAUGAUUUAUCAGGGUGAUGGACUGCCUUUUGCAUAAUGAGCCUGCGAGUUGUGGUGUCUGGCAAGGUUAAGUCAAGUACGAAGCCGUAGCGAAAGCGAGUCUUAAUAGGGCGAAUUAGUCAGAUGCUGCAGACCCGAAACGAAGUGAUCUAUCCAUGAGCAGGUUGAAGCUGGUGUAAGAGCCAGUGGAGGACCGAACCCGCAGGCGUUGAAAAGUCUUGGGAUGACUUGUGGAUAGGGGUGAAAGGCCAAUCAAACUUCGUGAUAGCUGGUUCUCUCCGAAAUAUAUUUAGGUAUAGCCUUGUGUUGUAGCAUAUGGGGGUAGAGCACUGAAUGGGCUAGGGCUGCUUACCGCGGUACCAAACCCUAUCAAACUAUGAAUACUAUAUGUGGAAUCACAGGAGUCAGGCGGUGGGUGAUAAAAUCAAUCGUCGAGAGGGGAACAACCCAGACUAACAGCUAAGGUCCCUAAGUUACAUCUAAGUGGAAAACGAUGUGGAGUUACUGUGACAACCAGGAGGUUGGCUUAGAAGCAGCCAUCCUUUAAAGAAAGCGUAACAGCUCACUGGUCUAGUGAUUCUGCGCGGAAAAUAUAACGGGGCUAAGAUGUACACCGAAGCUUUAGAUUCAAUUUUUAAUUGAGUGGUAGGAGAGCGUUCUAUUCAGCGUAGAAGAUGUACCGGUAAGGAGCGUUGGAGCGGAUAGAAGUGAGCAUGCAGGCAUGAGUAGCGAUAAUUGAGGUGAGAAUCCUCAACGCCGAAAACCCAAGGUUUCCUACGCGAUGCUCGUCAUCGUAGGGUUAGUCGGGACCUAAGUCGAGUCCGAAAGGGGUAGACGAUGGCAAAUUGAUUAAUAUUUCAAUACCAACAUAUAAGCGCGAUGUGGGGACGCAUAGAGUUAAUCGAGGUCACUGAUGGAAUAGUGGCUCGAAGGACG
rnacentral:rRNA from 1 species